GACGAACGCUGGCGGCGUGCUUAACACAUGCAAGUCGAACGAAGAGCGAUGGAAGCUUGCUUCUAUCAAUCUUAGUGGCGAACGGGUGAGUAACGCGUAAUCAACCUGCCCUUCAGAGGGGGACAACAGUUGGAAACGACUGCUAAUACCGCAUACGAUCUAACCUCGGCAUCGAGGAUAGAUGAAAGGUGGCCUCUACAUGUAAGCUAUCACUGAAGGAGGGGAUUGCGUCUGAUUAGCUAGUUGGAGGGGUAACGGCCCACCAAGGCGACGAUCAGUAGCCGGUCUGAGAGGAUGAACGGCCACAUUGGGACUGAGACACGGCCCAGACUCCUACGGGAGGCAGCAGUGGGGAAUCUUCCGCAAUGGACGAAAGUCUGACGGAGCAACGCCGCGUGAGUGAUGACGGCCUUCGGGUUGUAAAGCUCUGUUAAUCGGGACGAAAGGCCUUCUUGCGAAUAGUUAGAAGGAUUGACGGUACCGGAAUAGAAAGCCACGGCUAACUACGUG
rnacentral:rRNA from 1 species